rnacentral:rRNA from 1 species
UACGUAGGGUGCAAGCGUUGUCCGGAAUUAUUGGGCGUAAAGAGCUCGUAGGCGGUCUGUCGCGUCGGCUGUGAAAACCCGGAGCUCAACUCCGGGCCUGCAGUCGAUACGGGCAAACUGGAGUACUGCAGGGGAGACUGGAAUUCCUGGUGUAGCGGUGAAAUGCGCAGAUAUCAGGAGGAACACCGAUGGCGAAGGCAGGUCUCUGGGCCACUACUGACGCUGAGAAGCGAAAGCUAGGGGAGCGAACGGG